rnacentral:tRNA from 1 species
GCCAGCAUGGUGCAAUGGUUUGAGUGUUGGAUUACAACUCUGGAGACCAGGGUUCGAUUCCCCAAUUGGCC